CGGCGGUCCAACUGGUGAUCAGCAUUACUGGGCCUAAAGCGUCCGUAGCCGGAUUGUUGGAUUCUGAGUGAAAUUCGUCAGCUUAACUGAUGAGCGUGCUUGGAACACCCGCAAUCUAGGGACCGGGAGAGGUAGGGGGUAGGCCCCGGGUAGAAGUAAAAUUCUAUAAUCCGGGGAGGACCACCAGUGGCGAAGGCGCCCUACCAGAACGGGUCCGACGGUGAGGGACGAAGGCCAGGGGAGCGAACCGGAUUAGAUACCCGAGUAGUCC
rnacentral:rRNA from 1 species